GUGCCCCCAAGUCAAAUUAAGUUCAAGAAAGGAGCAGUGCCUACACUUGGACUACCCACAUUAACAACUUGUGAGCCACACCCUCCACAGGAAGAACCAGAGCAUCACAUCCAAGAUGCUUUGACUGCACACACUGCUGGAGCUUCAAGUCAACUUAUGACAUGUGAGACAGUCAUUGAGGUUCACCCUCAGCCACACCCUCCACAGGAAGAACUCCUACUAGAGCAUCACAUCCAAGAUGCUUUGACUGCACACACCGCUGGACCUUCAAGUCAACCUAAG